rnacentral:rRNA from 1 species
UACGUAGGGUGCAAGCGUUGUCCGGAAUUAUUGGGCGUAAAGAGCUCGUAGGCGGUUUGUCGCGUCGAAUGUGAAAACCCGGGGCUCAACCCCGGGCCUGCAUUCGAUACGGGCAGACUAGAGUUCGGUAGGGGAGUCUGGAAUUCCUGGUGUAGCGGUGAAAUGCGCAGAUAUCAGGAGGAACACCGGUGGCGAAGGCGGCCAUCUGGACGGUGACUGACGCUGAGACGCGAAAGCGUGGGGAGCAAACAGG